UUUAAGUGUAAAUAUUAAAUAAAAUUAGUAUUAGUUAUUUUCUUGAAAUUUAAAGAUUUUGGCGGUAUUUUAGUCUCUUCAGAGGAACCUGUUCUAUAAUCGAUAGUCCACGAUAAAUAUUACUUAUUUUAAUUAGUUUGUAUAUCGUCGUAAUUGGGUAUUUCAUUAGAAUUAAAAUAUUCAAAAUUUAAAAUAAUAAAUUAAAUCAGAUCAAGGUGCAAUUUAUAGAUAAGAAGAAAUGGGUUACAAUAAAAAUAUUUAUAUGAAUAAAUUAAUGAAAAAAAUUUUGAAGGUGGAUUUGAAAGUAAUAAAAUUUAUUUAAAUUUUAUGAUUUUAGCUCUAAAAUAUGU
rnacentral:rRNA from 1 species